rnacentral:misc_RNA from 1 species
AAACUUGAAGUUAGUCGUCCGCUUAUGAAGAACAAAAAUUUUUGCUUGUUAUUUGGUCGAUGUUUUUAAACAUUUGCUUUUGUAACUAUGUACAUAAUGCUAUUAAAUAAUAUAGAAUUGUUUUUGGAAAGAAUAUUCAUUAUUUCAAAAUGGACUUGCAUUUUUCUUAUGCAUUAGGCCAUAAUUUUGAUAAUGACCAGUUAUGACUUACACGAGAUGAUCGUGGCAAAAAAUGUUCCCGGUUAAGAGCUAAUAGGAAAGCAGCCUAAAGCCCUUUCCUUGGCUCAUUCAAAACAAUUUUUUCUAGGGAAACACUGUACAUGUGUUUUAUACAACAUGAACAACAGGCAAGAAAUACAUGUCAUUUUUACGGUUAAAGCAACAAGAGUAUAAAAGAGAUGAGCAGCCUUCCGAUGAUAAAAAAUCGGGUCGACAAUAUCGUCGAUUCAAACAAAACAGCUUGCGGUUUGUUUAGCAGCUCGGUCUAUGUCGACAAGGCCGCUCUGAAACUGUUGAUGGACGACUGCUUGAAAAAGAAGGCGGAACUGGCCAGGUGCGAGAUGGAGAAGGAGAUCUACAAAGAGAAGGCUAGGGAAGCGAACGAAAAGCUCAGAUCAGCGACUGAACAGUUGGAGCGAUUGGCCAAGAUCGUCAAGAACGCGAGGUAUUCCAUUAACACCGACAAGGCGACGCCGACGUCCGCUUACAAGGAUUUAGCCCUCCUCCGGGAAAUGUCCGUUCGGUGCACCAUGUACGGCGAUUCUAAAAGACAGGACAGUACACUCCAGAAACUGGCCCGGGCCCAGAAGAUCAGGAACAGCAUGCAAGUCAAAAAGAUCGAUAUGAUCGAAGCAGAAAUCCACCGCCUCAAGGAUGAGAUUAACCGGGUUAAUAAAGGCAUGUUGAAGACCCGGGAAGUCAUCGGUGGUAAUACGACUCCACCCAUGUCUGAUGACAGAAAGAUCUUCGAAAGCGUCGAACUGAGGAGCGAAAUCAAGGAGCUUUCCAACCAGCUCAGAAUCGCCAAGGACGACGUGGAAAAACGGAAAAAAGACAUCGAACUUGUCAAAUCCCUCCUAUCGCAAAUAAGAAACAACUCCGUCAAAUUCUCAAAUAUGGUUAUGCUCGACUGACAAUCAUCGUGGACUAUCCUUCCUCAUUUUAAGUUGAAAAAUCGUCAACGAACAGUAGAAUCUUUUCUGCAAGCCGGUUCCAGGUCCAACAAGUUACAUUCCUGAUGAUCCA